GUGAGGAAUAUUGGUCAAUGGGCAUACGCCUGAACCAGCCAAGUCGCGUGAGGGAUGACGGUCCUAUGGAUUGUAAACCUCUUUUGUCAGGGAGCAAUGACCGGCACGUGUGCCGGUGGGGAGAGUACCUGAAGAAAAAGCAUCGGCUAACUCCGUGCCAGCAGCCGCGGUAAUACGGAGGAUGCGAGCGUUAUCCGGAUUUAUUGGGUUUAAAGGGUGCGUAGGCGGAAUGCCAAGUCAGCGGUAAAAUUUCGGGGCUCAACCCCGUCGUGCCGUUGAAACUGGUGUCCUUGAGUGGGCGAGAAGUAUGCGGAAUGCGUGGUGUAGCGGUGAAAUGCAUAGAUAUCACGCAGAACUCCGAUUGCGAAGGCAGCAUACCGGCGCCCGACUGACGCUGAAGCACGAAAGCGUGGGUAUCGAACAGGA
rnacentral:rRNA from 1 species